rnacentral:rRNA from 1 species
GAUGAACGCUGGCGGCGUGCCUAACACAUGCAAGUCGAACGGCAGCACGGACUUCGGUCUGGUGGCGCGUGGCGAACGGGUGAGUAAUACAUCGGAACGUGCCCAGUUGUGGGGGAUAACUACUCGAAAGAGUAGCCAAUACCGCAUGAGAACUGAGGUUGAAAGCAGGGGAUCGUAAGACCUUGCGCAACUGGAGCGGCCGAUGGCAGAUUAGGUGGUUGGUGGGAUAAAAGCUUACCAAGCCGACGAUCUGUAGCUGGUCGGAGAGGACGACCAGCCACACUGGGACUUAGACACGGCCCAGACUCCUACGGGAGGCAGCAGUGGGGAAUUUUGGACAAUGGGCGAAAGCCUGAUCCAGCAAUGCCGCGUGCAGGAUGAAGGCCCUCGGGUUGUAAACUGCUUUUGUACGGAACGAAAAGCUUCGGGUUAAUACCCUGGAGUCAUGACGGUACCGUAAGAAUAAGCACCGGCUAACUACGUGCCAGCCGCCGCAGUAA